UACGGAGGUGGCAAGCGUUACUCGGAAUCAUUGGGUGUAAAGGGCAAGUAGGCGGCCUAAUAAGUGAGGGGUGAAAUCCUGCGGCUCAAUCGCAGAAUGGCCUUUCAAACUGUUGGGCUUGAGGGUGGGAGAGGAAAGCGGAAUUCUCGGUGUAAGGGUGAAAUCUGUAGAGAUCGAGAAGAACACCAGCGGCGAAGGCGGCUUUCUGGCCCAUACCUGACGCUGAAUUGCGAAAGCUAGGGGAG
rnacentral:rRNA from 1 species